ensembl:lncRNA
AUAAUAAUUGUUGUCCACACUCUAAAAAGUAUAUUUUUUCAAAAGUUGAAGUAAAGUACUGUUUUGAAUAAGUCUGAUUCAGAUUUCUGCUUUAGCGACGGCAAUUUACUUUUGUGUAUUAUAUCAAAUAUAAAUUGUACUUUAUUACAUUGACCUGCUAUAGGCCUAUGUCACGGAACAAUUGAAGACCGGAAGAAGCUCGCGGAGUAGGGUAACUGCUCUUCCGCUUAGCUUAGCUAAGCUGUUUACCAUGGCGGAGGCAGAUCAAUACCUUUGGACCAAGUCUCUCCAACCUACCUAAAUUGUCCUACGACGACGUCCUAAGGAUAGUAAAUCAGCACUUACGUGUCGAAACAUCUAAACUACGCAAAGGAUAUAAGUUAUUCUGGGAGAAGUACAUUUUUAAUUACAUAGACACAUGACAACCACUUCACAGGGGAGAAAAGCGUGCCAACACCUCUGUCGUGCACCAGUGUUCUGCAGACGUGGACCAAGGACACAGGGGAUUCGCUCCAGGGGAUUCGCCCGGAACCCAUUGACCAACUUAUGGUCAGGAAACCCAAGGUUUGGGUUAGGUGUUUUAUUUGAGCACAUACAUGGACACAUACCUCCUGAAUGCCAAGUAAAUAUGGCCGAGGGAUACACACACCCCAUUCCAUUUAUUUAUUUCUGUUAAAUGUAUAUAUGUAAAUAUUUUAAUCAAAGAAUUGGAAACGAACAUUCCUGAACAUUUGUUUUAAGGUAACACACUCUGAGCACCUUUAAAACAAGCCUGAAGACUUUUAUGUUUGCAUUAGCUUUCUGCUACAUCUUAAAUACAUUGCACUUUCUAAAAAGCUUUUUUAACUUUGCCUUUAUUUUCUAUUUUAAUACUAAAAUGCCUUUAACUUUCUAUUUUACUCAUUUCUCUGCAUAUGUUUUCUUUUACUUAUCUAUUUUAUUGUAUGACAAUGUUUAUAUGUGAAGCACUUUGAGUCUUCCCUUGUGUAUGAAAAGUGCUAAAUAAAGUUGCCUUGCCUAACACACAGAACAUUUCAUUUCUUUCUGUUAAAUGUAAAUAUGUAUAUAUGUAAAUUUAAAAAAAAGAACUGGAAACAAACAUUAAAUAAACAUUUGAAAAGGACGGACGGACACAAACACACACACCAUUUUAAUUUCUUUCUGCUAAAUGUAAACAAAGAACAUUAAUAAACGUUUGAAAAUAGUCAUGUGACGUCAUGUGUGUUUUAAUGUGUAACACUGGGACAUCACCCUUAACAUCUAAAGGACCUUGAUAGUUAGACAUCAAGCAAGAAUUUACCCACAGCUGAUUGACAGAGACUGAAAGAGUCAGAGGAAUGGUUGUGCCCAGAUAUGAUAUUCUUUGACCCUUCUGAUGGCCCUCUCCAAGAUUCUAAGUUGGGCGAUACUCACUGGUUAACCUGGUGCCUCUUUUAAAUGGCGGCAUUAUGAGGGUGGCCCCAACUUCAGAAAGCAUCUUGUCGAUAACAAAGCCUUUGUCAGCCAUGCAUGCAUCUCCUGGCUGAAGUAGACUAAGGAUUCCUGACUGCUGUGUGAUUUCUCUAUCUGAUAUGGAACCAGUGUACAGCUUAUAAAUUAGCUUAGAAAUGAAGGUGAUAACUCCACGUGAAGCAAUGCCAAUCAGACCUUUGAAGGUGUUGGUAUUCUUGUAGUGGGAGAAUGUUUCAGACUGGAGGGUGAGUGAUGAGGGUGCCUCACACCUGAUUUCUGUGCCGUCUAGAAUCACUCGCACGUUAGGACAGUACUGGGCAAAAAAAUAUCUCAACCAAGAUUUAUUUUGUCCUUCGGGAAAGCGUGGAAGCUGAGGUAUGGCUGUAUACGUCCUGAUGUAGAGCAACACGGUACAACAAGAACAACUGCGAAAGGGAGCUGCCAUUGUUGUUGCUGCUGGACGCGACCGGAAGUUGGAUUACCCUACUACGCGUUCCGGAAGCAGGAAGUGUGACAUAGGCCUAUUCUUAUGCAAAUGAAAGCGCUUCAAUUAGGUUUCCCUGUCUAACGUCAUGACGUGGACGUUUAUUUGUUGAACUUCAACGUCUUUUCCAGCCAGAUUUCUGUAGCUGAAGCUGAUAUUUUUUCUCCUCGUCAAUCUCAUCAUCCACGCGGUAAAGGUCACUCUGAAAAACCGUACGUUUAAUGUAGACAAAGUCAUGUGUUACAAAUUGUAUUUGUCAGAUAACAAAUGUUCUGCCUGUAUUGGUCAAAAAAUGUACGUCUUAAGGGUUAACUUUAGUUUACGAACUGAACCAGACCAGUGCCAUGCCGUAAUUCCGACGCCUCAUUGUUCCGACGUCUCAAUGGUCCGAAAUAUUUCCCAUUAGAUCGACAUGCCACUAUGCCGACGGUUAAAUUUUACGAAAACGGAACCCAGUGUUCCGAAGGCCCGUUUGUCCGAUAAAUCAAACAAGAGGCGCAUUAUAGGCCGACGGUUCAAUAUGCCGAAUAGGCCUACAUAACCGUUGGCCUAAUGCGCCUUUCCAAUGGGAAAUAUUUCGGACCAUUGAGACGUCGGAGCAAUGAGGUGUCGGAAUUAGGGUUAUCUUUAGGUUAGAUUAACAUGUUCGAUGCAUUUAACGGAUUUUGUGAAAAGUGUUAUAUGUUCAAACCACUGGUGUGCUAAAGGUAAUGGCAUUAAAAAUUAUAGUGAUCGUUAUGCUAUUAACUGAUCAGUAGCAGCAGCGCUCUGAUGCUAUUUCAUUUAGCAUUUUGCUAAAUGAAUGACUUGUGCAAGUAACUUCAACGCGGGGCUCUCGUGGUGUAAUACUGUUACUGAAAGUAGUCUAAAGUUAACGUAUGUCAUACUGUGUACUGGUUAAGCUGCUUAUUUGCACAUUAACACGGAUACAUUUAGGCUUACAUGUGUUUGCAACUGUGCUACGCUCGCUCUCCGUUCUGUUAAGAUGUGUGUGGGGGUGGGUGUUUGGGUGUUUUACUGCCGCCACCGUCUCCGUUUACGUAUUUAGUGAGACACAGGCGACGAGAGAGGGUGCAUGUCGUUCUCAUGAAGCACAGUGGUGAGUCCGGCCGCUAAUUAAACAACACCACUGUUCUGCUGCUAUUCCUUUUAAAAAAAUUGUCAGUUUGCUAGCGGAGAGUUGGAGUAAACCUUUGGUUAGUAACCUUGUGCAAGGUAGUCUUGUGGUGUAAUACCGUUACUGAAAGUAAACGUAAGUCAUGUAGUUUACUGGUUAUGCCGCUUAUUUGCACAUCAGCGUGGAUACUUAAAGGCAUUUAUUUUACGGUCAAUGUGGUUACCCCCUAUAAGAAGAGUAUCCCCGGCCGCGGGAGCACGCAUAGUGCAGGUGGAAGCACACAGACACUACGGUUC